rnacentral:rRNA from 1 species
UACGUAGGGGGCAAGCGUUGUCCGGAUUUAUUGGGCGUAAAGGGCGCGUAGGCGGGUCAUCAAGUCCGGGGUGAAAGCCCCCAGCUUAACUGGGGAAGUGCCUUGGAUACUGAUGGUCUUGAGGGGGGUAGGGGCAGUGGGAACUUCCGGUGGAGCGGUGAAAUGCGUUGAUAUCGGAAGGAACGCCGGUGGCGAAAGCGCACUGCUGGACCUUUUCUGACGCUGAGGCGCGAAAGCCAGGGGAGCAAACGGG